rnacentral:sRNA from 4 species
AUAUCUCUCUGUACGGGAAGGAUGAGAAGCUUCGACUAAGGUUCGAUUCGAGCGCAGCGAGAAAGCGUUGCCGCAGGCAACGACCCGAAGGG